UACGAAGGGGGCUAGCGUUGCUCGGAAUCACUGGGCGUAAAGCGCACGUAGGCGGAUUGCUAAGUCAGGGGUGAAAUCCUGGAGCUCAACUCCAGAACUGCCCUUGAUACUGGCGGUCUCGAGUCCGGGAGAGGUGAGUGGAACUGCGAGUGUAGAGGUGAAAUUCGCAGAUAUUCGCAAGAACACCAGUGGCGAAGGCGGCUCACUGGCCCGGUACUGACGCUGAGGUGCGAAAGCGUGGGGAGCAAACAGG
rnacentral:rRNA from 1 species